rnacentral:rRNA from 1 species
UACAGAGGGUGCUAGCGUUGUUCGGAAUCAUUGGGCGUAAAGAGCGUGUAGGCGGCUUUACAGGUCCGUUGUGAAAACUCGAGGCUCAACCUCGAGACGCCGGUGGAAACCGUAAGGCUAGAGUCCGGAAGAGGAGAGUGGAAUUCCUGGUGUAGCGGUGAAAUGCGCAGAUAUCAGGAGGAACACCCGUGGCGAAAGCGGCUCUCUGGGACGGUACUGACGCUGAGACGCGAAAGCGUGGGGAGCAAACAGG